rnacentral:rRNA from 1 species
CCUACGGGAGGCAGCAGUGGGGAAUAUUGGGCAAUGGGCGCAAGCCUGACCCAGCAACGCCGCGUGAAGGAAGAAGGCCCUCGGGUUGUAAACUUCUUUUAACAGGGACGAAGAAAGUGACGGUACCUGUUGAAUAAGCCACGGCUAACUACGUGCCAGCAGCCGCGGUAAUACGUAGGUGGCAAGCGUUAUCCGGAUUUACUGGGUGUAAAGGGCGGGUAGGCGGGAGAGCAAGUCAGACGUGAAAUUCCAGGGCUCAACCCUGGAACUGCGUUUGAAACUGGCAAACUGGAGUGUGUGAGAGGAUAGUGGAAUUCCAGGUGUAGGAGUGAAAUCCGUAGAUAUCUGGAGGAACAUCAGUGGCGAAGGCGACUAUCUGGCACAUAACUGACGCUGAGGAGCGAAAGCGUGGGUAGCAAACAGGAUUAGAUACCCGAGUAGUC